rnacentral:rRNA from 1 species
CAGUAGCCGCGGGAAUACAGAGGGUGCGAGCGUUAAUCGGAUUUACUGGGCGUAAAGCGUGCGUAGGCGGCUUCUUAAGUCGGAUGUGAAAUCCCUGAGCUUAACUUAGGAAUUGCAUUCGAUACUGGGAAGCUAGAGUAUGGGAGAGGAUGGUAGAAUUCCAGGUGUAGCGGUGAAAUGCGUAGAGAUCUGGAGGAAUACCGAUGGCGAAGGCAGCCAUCUGGCCUAAUACUGACGCUGAGGUACGAAAGCAUGGGGAGCAAACAGGAUUAGAUACCCCCGUAGUCCCUGUCUAUUAUAC